UGGAUGGGGAUGCGUCUGAUUAGCUUGUUGGCGGGGUAACGGCCCACCAAGGCGACGAUCAGUAGGGGUUCUGAGAGGAAGGUCCCCCACAUUGGAACUGAGACACGGUCCAAACUCCUACGGGAGGCAGCAGUGAGGAAUAUUGGUCAAUGGGCGAGAGCCUGAACCAGCCAAGUAGCGUGCAGGAUGACGGCCCUAUGGGUUGUAAACUGCUUUUAUAAGGGAAUAAAGUGAGUCUCGUGAGGCUUUUUGCAUGUACCUUAUGAAUAAGGACCGGCUAAUUCCGUGCCAGCAGCCGCGGUAAUACGGAAGGUCCGGGCGUUAUCCGGAUUUAUUGGGCUUAAAGGGAGCGUAGGCCGGAGAUUAAGCGUGUUGUGAAAUGUAGAUGCUCUACAUCUGCACUGCAGCGCGAACUGGUUUCCUUGAGUACGCACAAAGUGGGCGGAAUUCGUGGUGUAGC
rnacentral:rRNA from 1 species